rnacentral:misc_RNA from 1 species
AAGAGACGUUGCCCUUCGGGGUAUACCUCCCACCCUUUGUUUAUUAUACCUUUGUUGCUUGGCGGGCCCGUCCUCGGACCACCGGCUUCUGCUGGUCAGUGCCCGCCAGAGGACCUAAAACUCUGUUUGUUAAUAUUGUCUGAGUACUAUAUAAUAGUUA